rnacentral:tRNA from 1 species
UGGGGCGUGGCCAAGCUGGUAAGGCGCGGGACUUUGGAUCCCGUAUUCGAAGGUUCGAAUCCUUCCGCCCCAACCA